CCUACGGGAGGCAGCAGUGGGGAAUAUUGGUCAAUGGGCGCUAGCCUGAACCAGCCAAGCAGCGUGAAGGAUGACUGCUUUAUGGGUUUUAAGCUUUUUUUAUAUGGGAAUAAAGUGCAGUAUGUAUACUGCUUUGCAUGUACCUUAUGAAUAAGGAUCGGCUAACUCCGUGCCAGCAGCCGCGGUAAUACGGAGGAUCAGAGCGUUAUCCGGAUUUAUUGGGUUUAAAGGGAGCGUAGGCGGGUUGGUAAGUCAGUUGUGAAAGUUUGCGGCUCAACCGUACAAUUGCAGUUGAUACUGGCAUCCUUGAGUACAGUAGAGGUAGGCGGAAUUCGUGGUGUAGCGGUGAAAUGCGUAGAUAUCACGAAGAACUCCGAUGGCGAAGGCAGCCUGCUGGACUGUAACUGACGCUGAUGCUCGAAAGUGUGGGUAUCAAACAGGAUUAGAUACCCUUGUAGUC
rnacentral:rRNA from 1 species